GAUGAACGCUGGCGGCGUGCCUAACACAUGCAAGUCGAGCGAAGCAUUUACCGUGAAGUUUUCGGAUGGAUCGGUAUCUGACUGAGCGGCGGACGGGUGAGUAACGCGUGGGUAACCUGCCUUAUACAGGGGGAUAACAGUUAGAAAUGACUGCUAAUACCGCAUAAGCGCACAGUACCGCAUGGUACGGUGUGAAAAACUCCGGUGGUAUAAGAUGGACCCGCGUCUGAUUAGCCAGUUGGCGGGGUAACGGCCCACCAAAGCGACGAUCAGUAGCCGACCUGAGAGGGUGACCGGCCACAGUGGGACUGAGACACGGCCCAAACUCCUACGGGAGGCAGCAGUGGGGAAUAUUGCACAAUGGGGGAAACCCUGAUGCAGCAACGCCGCGUGAGUGAAGAAGUAUUUCGGUAUGUAAAGCUCUAUCAGCAGGGAAGAAGAUGACGGUACCUGAUUAAGAAGCCCCGGCUAACUACGUGCCAGCCGCCGCCGUAA
rnacentral:rRNA from 1 species